rnacentral:rRNA from 1 species
AACGAACGCUGGCGGCAUGCCUAAUACAUGCAAGUCGAACGAACACUUCGGUGUUAGUGGCGCACGGGUGCGUAACGCGUGGGAAUCUGCUCUUGGGUUCGGAAUAACUUCGGGAAACUGAAGCUAAUACCGGAUGAUGACUUCUGUCCAAAGAUUUAUCGCCCAAGGAUGAGCCAGCGUAGGAUUAGCUAGUUGGUGGGGUACAGGCCAACAAAGGCGACGAUCCUUAGCUGGUCUGAGAGGAUGAUCAGCCACACUGGGACUGAGACACGGCCCAGACUCCUACGGGAGGCAGCAGUAGGGAAUAUUGGACAAUGGGCGAAAGCCUGAUCCAGCAAUGCCGCGUGAGCGAUGAAGGCCUUAGGGUUGUAAAGCUCUUUUACCCGGGAUGAUAAUGACAGUACCGGGAGAAUAAGCCCCGGCUAACUCCGUGCCAGCCGCCGCAGUAAUAC